rnacentral:rRNA from 1 species
GACGUAGGGGGCCAGCGUUGCUCGGAUUUAUUGGGCGUAAAGGGUGCGUAGGCGGUUUGGCAAGUCUUAUGUGAAAUCUUCGGGCUCAACCCGAAGCCUGCAUAAGAAACUGCCGGGCUUGAGUAUUGGAGAGGUGAGUGGAAUUUCCGGUGUAGCGGUGAAAUGCGUAGAUAUCGGAAGGAACACCUGUGGCGAAAGCGGCUCACUGGACAAUAACUGACGCUGAGGCACGAAAGCUAGGGGAGCAAACAGG